GUGAAAAAUCUGAACUGCAGAAGAUCAUUGGACAGCUUGAAAGUGACAAGUCUGAGCUGCAGACACAAAACAAACUACUUGAAAGUGAAAAAUCUGAACUGCAGAAGGUCAUUAGACAGCUUGAAAGUGA